GACGAACGCUGGCGGCGUGCUUAACACAUGCAAGUCGAACGGAAAGGCCCUGCUUUUGUGGGGUGCUCGAGUGGCGAACGGGUGAGUAACACGUGAGUAACCUGCCCUUGACUUUGGGAUAACUUCAGGAAACUGGGGCUAAUACCGGAUAGGAGCUCCUGCUGCAUGGUGGGGGUUGGAAAGUUUCGGCGGUUGGGGAUGGACUCGCGGCUUAUCAGCUUGUUGGUGGUAGUGGCUUACCAAGGCUUUGACGGGUAGCCGGCCUGAGAGGGUGACCGGCCACAUUGGGACUGAGAUACGGCCCAGACUCCUACGGGAGGCAGCAGUGGGGAAUAUUGCACAAUGGGCGGAAGCCUGAUGCAGCAACGCCGCGUGCGGGAUGACGGCCUUCGGGUUGUAAACCGCUUUCGCCUGUGACGAAGCGUGAGUGACGGUAAUGGGUAAAGAAGCACCGGCUAACUACGUG
rnacentral:rRNA from 1 species